rnacentral:piRNA from 1 species
UCCAGAUUACGCUGUUCCUCUUGCAUGU